rnacentral:rRNA from 1 species
UGGGGAAUAUUGCACAAUGGGCGCAAGCCUGAUGCAGCGACGCCGCGUGAGGGAUGACGGCCUUCGGGUUGUAAACCUCUUUCAGUAGGGAAGAAGCGAAAGUGACGGUACCUGCAGAAGAAGCGCCGGCUAACUACGUGCCAGCAGCCGCGGUAAUACGUAGGGCGCAAGCGUUAUCCGGAAUUAUUGGGCGUAAAGAGCUCGUAGGCGGUUUGUCGCGUCUGCCGUGAAAGUCCGGGGCUCAACUCCGGAUCUGCGGUGGGUACGGGCAGACUAGAGUGAUGUAGGGGAGACUGGAAUUCCUGGUGUAGCGGUGAAAUGCGCAGAUAUCAGGAGGAACACCGAUGGCGAAGGCAGGUCUCUGGGCAUUAACUGACGCUGAGGAGCGAAAGCAUGGGGAGCGAACAGGAUUAGAUACCCUGGUAGUCCAUGCCGUAAACGUUGGGCACUAGGUGUGGGGGACAUUCCACGUUUUCCGCGCCGUAGCUAACGCAUUAAGUGCCCCGCCUGGGGAGUACGGCCGCAAGGCUA